AUGGACCACGCGUCCACUGCGGUUGUGAGCGGCGCCGCCCGUGUCUACCUGACCGCUGCUCG
rnacentral:sRNA from 1 species